AUUGAACGCUGGCGGCAGGCUUAACACAUGCAAGUCGAACGAUGAUUAUCUAGCUUGCUAGAUAUGAUUAGUGGCGGACGGGUGAGUAACAUUUAGGAAUCUGCCUAGUAGUGGGGGAUAGCUCGGGGAAACUCGAAUUAAUACCGCAUACGACCUACGGGUGAAAGGGGGCGCAAGCUCUUGCUAUUAGAUGAGCCUAAAUCAGAUUAGCUAGUUGGUGGGGUAAAGGCCCACCAAGGCGACGAUCUGUAACUGGUCUGAGAGGAUGAUCAGUCACACCGGAACUGAGACACGGUCCGGACUCCUACGGGAGGCAGCAGUGGGGAAUAUUGGACAAUGGAGGCAACCCUGAUCCAGCCAUGCCGCGUGUGUGAAGAAGGCCUUUUGGUUGUAAAGCACUUUAAGCAGGGAGGAGAGGCUAAUGGUUAAUACCCAUUAGAUUAGACGUUACCUGCAGAAUAAGCACCGGCUAACUCUGUGCCAGCAGCCGCGGUAAUACAGAGGGUGCGAGCGUUAAUCGGAAUUACUGGGCGUAAAGCGAGUGUAGGUGGCUCAUUAAGUCACAUGUGAAAUCCCCGGGCUUAACCUGGGAACUGCAUGUGAUACUGGUGGUGCUAGAAUAUGUGAGAGGGAAGUAGAAUUCCAGGUGUAGCGGUGAAAUGCGUAGAGAUCUGGAGGAAUACCGAUGGCGAAGGCAGCUUCCUGGCAUAAUAUUGACACUGAGAUUCGAAAGCGUGGGUAGCAAACAGGAUUAAAUACCCUGGUAGUCCACGCCGUAAACGAUGUCUACUAGCCGUUGGGGUCCUUGAGACUUUAGUGGCGCAGUUAACGCGAUAAGUAGACCGCCUGGGGAGUACGGCCGCAAGGUUAAAACUCAAAUGAAUUGACGGGGGCCCGCACAAGCGGUGGAGCAUGUGGUUUAAUUCGAUGCAACGCGAAGAACCUUACCUGGUCUUGACAUAGUGAGAAUCCUGCAGAGAUGCGGGAGUGCCUUCGGGAAUUCACAUACAGGUGCUGCAUGGCUGUCGUCAGCUCGUGUCGUGAGAUGUUGGGUUAAGUCCCGCAACGAGCGCAACCCUUUUCCUUAUUUGCCAGCGGGUUAAGCCGGGAACUUUAAGGAUACUGCCAGUGACAAACUGGAGGAAGGCGGGGACGACGUCAAGUCAUCAUGGCCCUUACGACCAGGGCUACACACGUGCUACAAUGGUAGGUACAGAGGGUUGCUACACAGCGAUGUGAUGCUAAUCUCAAAAAGCCUAUCGUAGUCCGGAUUGGAGUCUGCAACUCGACUCCAUGAAGUCGGAAUCGCUAGUAAUCGCGGAUCAGAAUGCCGCGGUGAAUACGUUCCCGGGCCU
rnacentral:rRNA from 1 species